GCACCUAUAGCUCAAUGGCAGAGCGCCAGACUUCUAUUUCUGGUAAUUUUAGUCAUUGCUAUCUGGAGGCUGCGGGUUCGAGUCCCGCUAGGUGUA